UACGGGGGGGGCAAGCGUUGUUCGGAAUGACUGGGCGUAAAGGGCUCGUAGGCGGCCAACUAAGUCAGACGUGAAAUCCCUCGGCUUAACCGGGGAACUGCGUCUGAUACUGGAUGGCUAGAGGUUGGGAGAGGGAUGCGGAAUUCCAGGUGUAGCGGUGAAAUGCGUAGAUAUCUGGAGGAACACCGGUGGCGAAGGCGGCAUCCUGGACCAAUUCUGACGCUGAUGAGCGAAAGCCAGGGGAGCAAACGGG
rnacentral:rRNA from 1 species